UUCUUUCACCGGAGCUUGCUCCACCGAAAGAAAAAGAGUGGCGAACGGGUGAGUAACACGUGGGUAACCUGCCCAUCAGAAGGGGAUAACACUUGGAAACAGGUGCUAAUACCGUAUAACACUAUUUUCCGCAUGGAAGAAAGUUGAAAGGCGCUUUUGCGUCACUGAUGGAUGGACCCGCGGUGCAUUAGCUAGUUGGUGAGGUAACGGCUCACCAAGGCAACGAUGCAUAGCCGACCUGAGAGGGUGAUCGGCCACACUGGGACUGAGACACGGCCCAGACUCCUACGGGAGGCAGCAGUAGGGAAUCUUCGGCAAUGGACGAAAGUCUGACCGAGCAACGCCGCGUGAGUGAAGAAGGUUUUCGGAUCGUAAAACUCUGUUGUUAGAGAAGAACAAGGAUGAGAGUAAAAUGUUCAUCCCUUGACGGUAUCUAACCAGAAAGCCACGGCUAACUACGUGCCAGCAGCCGCGGUAAUACGUAGGUGGCAAGCGUUGUCCGGAUUUAUUGGGCGUAAAGCGAGCGCAGGCGGUUUCUUAAGUCUGAUGUGAAAGCCCCCGGCUCAACCGGGGAGGGUCAUUGGAAACUGGGAGACUUGAGUGCAGAAGAGGAGAGUGGAAUUCCAUGUGUAGCGGUGAAAUGCGUAGAUAUAUGGAGGAACACCAGUGGCGAAGGCGGCUCUCUGGUCUGUAACUGACGCUGAGGCUCGAAAGCGUGGGGAGCGAACAGGAUUAGAUACCCUGGUAGUCCACGCCGUAAACGAUGAGUGCUAAGUGUUGGAGGGUUUCCGCCCUUCAGUGCUGCAGCAAACGCAUUAAGCACUCCGCCUGGGGAGUACGACCGCAAGGUUGAAACUCAAAGGAAUUGACGGGGGCCCGCACAAGCGGUGGAGCAUGUGGUUUAAUUCGAAGCAACGCGAAGAACCUUACCAGGUCUUGACAUCCUUUGACCACUCUAGAGAUAGAGCUUCCCCUUCGGGGGCAAAGUGACAGGUGGUGCAUGGUUGUCGUCAGCUCGUGUCGUGAGAUGUUGGGUUAAGUCCCGCCACGAGCGCAACCCUUAUUGUUAGUUGCCAUCAUUUAGUUGGGCACUCUAGCGAGACUGCCGGUGACAAACCGGAGGAAGGUGGGGAUGACGUCAAUCAUCAGGCCCCUAUGACCGGGCUACACCCUGCUACAUGGGAAGAC
rnacentral:rRNA from 1 species